AUUGAACGCUGGCGGCAGGCCUAACACAUGCAAGUCGAACGAGUGGCGGACGGGUGAGUAAUGUCUGGGAAACUGCCUGAUGGAGGGGGAUAACUACUGGAAACGGUAGCUAAUACCGCAUACCAUCAGAUGUGCCCAGAUGGGAUUGGCUAGUUGGUGGGGUAACGGCUCACCAAGGCGCCGAUCCCUAGCUGGUCUGAGAGGAUGACCAGCAACACUGGAACUGAGACACGGUCCAGACUCCUACGAGAGGCAGCAGUGGAGAAUAUUGCACAAUAGGCGCAAGCCUGAGGCAGCCAUGCCGCGUGUAUGAAGAAGGCCUUCGGGUUGUAAAGUACUUUCAGCGAGUAGGCGUUACCAGCAGAGGAAGCACCGGCUAACUCCGUGCCAGCAGCCGCGGUAAUAC
rnacentral:rRNA from 1 species